UCACACUGGCUGUUUUAAGAGAGAAAUCUUAAUGUAAGGAAUUGGCUCAACAGUAUUGGACAAGUGGAAAAGCAAACAAUGAGAUAUCAGAGGUAUGACUGCAGGAAACAGAUACCAUCCCUCGGGAUGGGGGGACAGAGGGAGAAGCUGAGAUUAUUACAAUCUAGAAACUGGAACCCCGACCCUUGACGAGGGCACGCCUGUGGCUGGUGUUGAUACAUCGGCAGGGAGGCCGGUUCUGGGGAUGUGAGAAACAGUUGGAAACUGGAACCAGUUGCCACUGCCGGGGCGAAGAGCUAUUGUGAGGUGACGUUGCCACAAAGGAAGGGCCAGCAGGAAGCCUCAAGUCCUUUUCCGGUGGCCAUCUUGUGCUCUCUAGCGCCCCCUAUGGACAGAGCCUGCCGUGGAAACAGCUGGAGAAACAAGUGUCACAAGACAGAACAGAGAGAAGUGAGUCACUAAGUCCAGUCCUGGAGGAAGAAAAUUAAGCUCCACUUCCCGGAGGGAGAAGUAUCAGAGAAUCCGUGGACAUCUGUUCAAACCACUAUGGUCCUGCUCGCACGCCUGCUGCUCCAUGAAUCCCCACCAGAACGGGAAGCUUGUCAAAAGGAGGAAGCAUGGGCUGUUCCUCUGUCUACCCCUGUGCCCAACCCGGAGCUUGGCCUUGAAGCGACACUUCAGAGUCUCAAGGAACAAAUGAACUGACUUCUGUCGGUGGCUCUACCACUCCCAAUCACCCAGGCCUGAAACCUGACCAGCCCAAUACCUGGCUGGUCACAAGCUCUGCUGAUUCUCCCUGAAAAGCCAACCCGACUUCUCAGUCUGGGCUUCACAGCCCUCCCCAGGCUGGCACCA